GUGUCAGCAGCCGCGGUAAUACGUAGGUGGCAAGCGUUGUCCGGAAUUAUUGGGCGUAAAGCGCGCGCAGGUGGUUUCUUAAGUCUGAUGUGAAAGCCCGCGGCUCAACCGUGGAGCGUCAUUGGAAACUGGGAGACUUGAGUGCAGGAGAGGAAGGUGGAAUUCCAUGUGUAGCGGUGAAAUGCGUAGAGAUGUGGAGGAACACCAGUGGCGAAGGCGACUUUCUGGUCUGUAACUGACACUGAGGCGCGAAAGCGUGGGGAGCAAACAGGAUUAGAUACCCCAGUAGUCC
rnacentral:rRNA from 1 species